rnacentral:rRNA from 1 species
GACGAACCCGUGCGAACGUUAUUCGGAAUUACUGGGCUUAAAGCGCGUGUAGGCGGAUGGGCGCAUCGAUUGCUGAAAUCCCCCGGCUCAACCGGGGAACGUGCGUCGAGAUGGCCCGUCUUGAGGGGGUAGGGGGACCGUGAACUUCCGGUGGAGCGGUGAAAUGCGUUGAGAUCGGAAGGAACGCCCGUGGCGAAAGCGAGGUCCUGGACCCUUUCUGACGCUGAGACGCGAAAGCCAGGGGAGCAAACGGGAUUAGAUACCCUUGUAGU